AAAAAAUCAUGUUUCAAAUCGCAAAGAUGUGGAAGAGGAUCUUUUUUCGCGAAUGAAGGGAAGCGAUCGAUCGCAACGAAGUAAUCGUCGAAUGCGUCUUGGAAAGUACAAUUCGAAACAUAAAAAUAUAAAAAGUACGUAUUGUUAUAAUAAUCGACGCGUGGAUACGAUCGCGCCGAAGAAAAUAAAAGUGAUAUUAAUCCUAAUGAAGACACUCGGUGCAGUGUAAAAAGAGAAAAAAAAGAAAAAAAAAGGGGGCGGGGGGGGGAGGGGGGGAGAGUUAAGAGGAUGUAUUACGUAGUGAUAUUGGACAAUCAGUGAAAAGACUGUAUCAUAUCAUAUUGAAGCAAUACAGUAGUAUUAGUCGACGAAUUAACGAACUUUAUUUGUACUUUUCGCGAUCAACCGCGCCUCCCCCUUGACCGAAGGAAACGAACGAGGCGGCGAGCGAAAUUUCGAAAAAGGAAGAAAAAAGAAAGAAGACAUUUCGGUUAACUUCAUCAUAACUUCUACGAAGUAAAAAUAAAUAAAUAAAUAAAUAAAAAAUAUAAAUAAUUAUAUCGUGCAAUAUUUUCGAAAAAAACGAUCGGGGAAAAUAACAAACAAACGACUUCGCACUUGGCGAGUCGGGAGUGCGGUUGAUCGCUCGAACGAAACACUCAGAAAUUGAUAUCUCUCGACUCUCGAGAAAAAGGUCGCUCUCUGUACAUUUUCACCAGCGCGGGUGUGAUUAUAUUUUUUGUUUCGAUCGAACGAUUUCGUUGUCCCCCUCGUCGUGACAACGGGAUUCGUUUAAACGCGAAUUAA